rnacentral:rRNA from 1 species
AGAGGAAGGAGAAGUCGUAACAAGGUUUCCGUAGGUGAACCUGCGGAAGGAUCAUUGUCGAAUCCUGCGAAGCAGACGACCGCGAACUCGUGUUACCUCCGGGCGUCGGGGAAGGGCUGGUUGGGCUGGGGGGGAAACCUCCCAUCCCGGCCGCCCCAACCCGACGCUCCCCGUGCGCCGGUCGCACGGACGAACAACCCAACCCCGGCGCGGAAAGCGCCAAGGAAAACUCAAAACGAUCGCCCGGCCCCCGACCGCCCCGUCCGCGGAGCGCGGUGGGGGAUGCCGUGGCGUCAGUCGUAACCAAAACGACUCUCGGCAACGGAUAUCUCGGCUCUCGCAUCGAUGAAGAACGUAGCGAAAUGCGAUACUUGGUGUGAAUUGCAGAAUCCCGCGAACCAUCGAGUCUUUGAACGCAAGUUGCGCCCAAAGCCAUCAGGCUGAGGGCACGUCUGCCUGGGCGUCACGCAUCGCGUCGCCACCCCCCUCCCACGGGACGGGGGCGGCGGAGAGUGGCCUCCCGUGCCCGGUGGGCGCGGCCGGCCUAAAUGCGAGUCCUCGGCGAGGGACGUCACGACUAGUGGUGGUUGAAUCCCUCAACUCGAGUCCUUAUCGUGGCGUCAGCCCCCGCCGUCAUCCGGGCUCCGUAGACCCUUUCGAGCUCGUGAAAGAGCCUCGACCGCGACCCCAGGUCAGGCGGGAUUACCCGCUGAGU